GUGGUGGGGGGCACCUGUAGUCCCAGCUGCUUGGGAGGUUGAGGCAGGAGAAUUGCUUGAACCUGGGAGAAGGAGGUUGCAGUGAGCUGAGAUCGUGCCACUGCACUCCAGCCUGGGCCACAAAAGCAAAACUCCAUCUCAAAAAAAAAAAAAAAAACACUACGAGAAUGUUGCUAAAACACACCCUCUCCAUCUUUUAGUGGUAUUACUCUACUCUGAUGGUGAAAGCAUAACAUGUUAGACAAAUUUCAUUCUUAAACAUUAGGUUAGUGUUUUCUGUCAACAGAUUAUAAGAACUUUUAUUGUUUUUAUUGUCAUUUUUUUCCUAAAUCGUGUGUGGAAAAAUAUUGAAUGUCUUCAAAUGUAUAAUACACACAGUAACACAAUAAGCUACAAAACAAAAACAAAGUUGAUUAACCCACUAUCAAGCUGAUGUUAAUUUCACAGAGCUUGGGCAUUUUAAUUUUUAUUCAGAAAAGAGAUUUUGAAGUGAACUAUGGGAUGAUUUUAAAAAAGAGAGGCUGGCCAGGCCCGGUGGCUCACGUCUGUAAUUCCAAAACUUUGGGAGGCCAAGGUGGGCAGAUCACUUGAGGCCAGUAGUUCAAGACCAGCCUGGCCAACAUGGCGAAACCCCGUCUCUGCUAAAAAUACAAAAAUUAGCCGGGUAUGGGUGGCAGGCACCUGUAAUUCCACCUACUCGGGAGGCUGAGGCAGGAGAGAAUCGCUUCAACCCAGAGGCAGAGGUUGCAGUGAGCUAAGAUCACGCCAUUGCACUCCAGCCUGGGGGACAAGAGUGGAACUCUGUCUCAAAAAAAAAAGAAAGAAAGAAAAGAAAAGAAAAAGAAAAAGAAACCUGCAAUAAAAGAAAAAUGUGAUGGUUUUAACAGUUUGUCCAAGUCUAAAGGAAAGGUGGGUGUGCCCAGCAUCAACGGAUUAGUCAUGAGGAGAACUGAGCUGCAAAUCUUGCAAGUCAGGUUCACUGCAUAUGUGAUGGGAAUACUAAGCAAAAUUAUGACUAUAUUUAAAUGCUUAUGCCCUUCAUCAUAAGUUUAUGAGCAAUGUGGAAGUCAAAUUUGAAUCUGGAGGUAAAAUUUCUCUUACCACAGUCUAAUCUAGAUCAGGGAAAUUUACUGAAGAGAUUUACCAAGCUGUUUGCUCAUGGUCUAAGGUGAGCUCAGGAUCAUCUCCUUCAGGAAGUCUUCUCUUACCUCCCCUCAACUAGGUUGGGUGCCUUUCAUCUGUCCUGCUGUUAAAGCCCUAUGCUGGCUGGGCGCGGUGGUUCACGCCUGUAAUCCCAGCACUUUGGGAGGCCA
rnacentral:lncRNA from 1 species